UAUUUGCUUAUGUUUUGCUGCUUAUGUAAUAUGCUGUUAGAAAACAGAUGCUGGUCAAGGUCAAGGUCUUUCCCCUCUUCCAGGUGAUUAUACAACUUUCUUCUGUAUUGUAUUAUUAAGAUGCUGGUAAUUUGGAAAAUAAGUGGAAUUCAGUUCCAGAGCAAAUGUCACUUUCCUUUCAAAAGCUGGGAGAAUAAGGUACACAAGGAACAACAACUACUACAAAAACAUUUUUAGGCCCCUUCCAUACAGCUGAACAAAACCCCACAUUUUCUGCUUUGAAUUAGAACAUAUGGCAGUGUGGACUCAGAUAACCCAGUUCAAAGCAAAUAUUGUGGGAUUUUCUGCCUUGAUAUCCUUGGUUAUAUGGCCGUGUGGAAGGGCCCUUCGUUUUCUUCCCCUAUAGUCUAGCUAUGAGGGGAAGGUAAGGCAUUGCCCCGGAUACAAAUUAUCCCCCAAUACAAAUUCUUUCCCCACCGUCAAUGAGAUUUCUGUCCUCAAUUUUCUAGUGGUGCUGUAUAAUGGGGGUUUCUUUGCCAUAUUUUUGGGGGGUCAGGUGGGGAUUGCCUUUGCCUUUCUCUGGGGAUGAGAAUGUGUGACUUUCCUAAGGUACCCAGAGGGUUUCCAUGGCUGAGAAGGGAUUUGAACCCUGGUCUCCAGAGUUGUAGUCCCACCCUCAAAUCACAACAGUACAUUGGCUCCCAUAGGAUGGAUAUAGGAGUGACAAAUUCUCAAUGUGUUUUUCUUACUUUUUUCUGUGACAUAUCAGAGAGCACAUAAUAAUUAGACUAUCAACUGGGCCUAAGUGUGCAUAUCUUUGCAUUUCAUCAUAAUCUAUAAAGGAAAAAGGCACUGUCCAAGACCUUGAAAGUAAAAUAAUGUGUCUUGGCAGCAUAUAGCUAUUAGUCUGUCGUGGUUGUUAAUCAAUUUAAUUAGGCAAUGUUGUGCAACAAAGAAGGAAAAGAUUAUUUCCUUUUUAAAUGGUGACUUGGACUGUUGAAUAGACUUUGCAGAAUAGAUAUAUAUAUAUACUAGCUGUGCCCGCCACGCGUUGCUGUGGCAAAGUAUGGUGGUAUGGGAAAUCAAGUAUUGAGGAAUUGGUGGUAGUUAAGGUAAAGGGUAAAGGUUUUCUCCUGACAUGAAGUCCAGUUGUGUGUGAGUGUGUGGGUUGGUGAUCAUGUGUAUUUGUAAGUUGAAGAGGUGGCAUUGUUCGGAGAGUCGUUGGAGGUCAUGUGGGUGGUAUGACUAUGGAGCGCCGUUAGUUUUGCGUCGGAGGAGUAGGUAUUGAUGUACUGAUCUUUGGAUGUUUUGGAAGUGUUGGGUUGGGAGAAGGUGGGGUAAUAGUGGGGGUUGACUCUGUUUUUCGAAUUCAAACCUGCGACGUUUCAUUGGAGAAGCUGAGUAGGUUAGUGGUUGAAGACGCUGCGUCAUUAGGGGAGAUUAUUUCCUAAAGGUUGUGAAUAUACAAUAUUUGUGAUUAUUGGGGUUUUUUGUCUGUUGGAGGUAAGUAUGAAUGGUGUAUAAGAGAUGUUGUAGGUGUUGUGAAUGGGUAUAGAGUACGUUAUCGUCGGUAUAUUAGAGUUGUAUAAGAGAUGUUGUAGGUGUUGUGAAUGGGUAGAGAUGACAUUAUUAUCAGCACAUUAGAAUUGUAUAAGAGAUGUUGUAGGUGUUUUGAAUGGGGAUAGAGUACUUUAUUAUCGGGAUAUUGCAGUUGUGUAAGAGAUGUUGUAGGUUUUCUGAAUGGGGAUAGAGUACGUUAUCAUCGGUAUAUUAGAGUUGUAUAAGAGAUGUUGUAGGUGUUGUGAAUGGGUAGAGAUGACAUUAUUAUCGGUAUAUUAGAGUUGUAUAAGAGAUGUUGUAGGUGUGUUUUUGAAUGUGGUGUGUUGUUAGAGUUAGUUUCCCUGGGGCAUGGGUUUGAAACGGGAUAUGGUGUUGUUUGGGUUGGUGUCUCAGUGUAGAUGGAGGGUAGACGUUGAUUCUAAGUGAAGAUAAUCCAGUUGAAAUAUGAUAUUGUGGAUCUGGGUGGUUGUGGGUUGGAGUGGGUGGGUGUUGUUUGUAUGAAUGGAGGAGGAAGGAGAGAGUGGGAGGGAGGAAGUGGAUGGUUAUGGUCUUGCUUUGAAAGGGUAGAGAUGGGGGGGGGUAUGGGUUGUAGUGGGUGGCCCUUGUUUGUAGGAAUGGAGGAGGAAGGGGAGGGGUGGGUGGGAGGAAAUGGAUGGUUGUGGGUUGUAUUGGGUGGGUUUUGUUUAGAUAAAUAGAGGAAGAAGAGUGGGAGGGGUUGGGUAGUGGAGUGUGUGGGAUGGGCCUUGAUUUUAUGAGUGGAGGAGGAGGAAUAAGAGGAGUGCAAGGGAACAAAUGGAGAGUUCGAAAGAGAAGAAGGGGGGCUAGGGAGUUGUUUUGGAGCCGAGGUCCAGGCUGUGAGGUGGGGGUGCGGCUUGCCCUUCCUUAUUUCUCGGUGGAAGCGUUCCGUGGGCCCAAGGAGGCCUGGUGGUGCCUCAGGACGGAGGAGGAGGAGGAGGAGGAGGAGGAGGAGGAGGAAGAGGAAGAGGAAGAGGAAGAGGAAGAGGGGGGGUGACGGGUAGGAGCAGCACCAUGUUUCCCGGCAGUGGGAGCGGCGGCGGCGCUCUUUCCUCCUCCGGAGGGGAAGGGGAGGUGUUGGAAGAAUCGGUGGUGGCAGGGAAGAGUUGGGGCACUCAGGCGGCUUGGGGAGGGCUGGUCUCUCUCCGCCUCCUCGCUUUGUCUGAGACCUGGCCCACAGCCACUACAAUAUGCUAGCCCCAGCCGGAAGGGGUUGGUGGAAAGAUGAGGCACUGCUGCAUUUCAAAGGACGUCAUUGCAAAGAACAUGGGUUCUGAUUUGCUUUAGAGUUGAGGACACCCAAAAUCUGCCCCCUGAGAUUGCAACGUCACCGUGCCUUAAUGGUAGAGCUGGUGCUAUUGCCCUGCCACCUCCAUUUAUGGUUGUGUCUGCAACAGAUCACUUCACCCUCACAGCAUGGAAGGGGCUGGCCUUCAUCUCGGCUGUGACGAAUGCUUGAAGUAAUCCAGCUGCUCCUCACUCAAUAACUGAGGCACUGCAGAAUUGCCACAUGAAAUAACUGCAGAUAGCAGAAUACCCUUUGAAAAUUACUGUGGCCUUGCACAGCUUAAAGGACAUUAUCCUCUUUGUACAUUCACCAGUUGCAUGCUUCUAAUACUAUAUUGUGAGAUGAUUCAAUGUCAUUCAGAAAUUCUGCUGAGCUCCUCGUAUUUUGCUGAUAGAGUUAAUCCUCAAGAAGUUUGUGAAUGGGAAGCACAAACCCAGAGUGAGUUAAAGGCAUUUGACCUUUAAACAAUGCUGAUGUUCGCUCUUUUAUUUAUUUAUUUUUUAUUUUUCUAAUCGUACUGACUCUGUUACCUUAAUAGGAUCUCAUUCUUAUUCUUGCUCUUCCUGUUUUCCUUCCUUCCUUUUUUUUUGUUUUUGUUUGAGGAGACUGUUUGGUGAGUACAGUUGAGAGUGAUGUAGUCUUCAUAUAAUGUAAGAAGAGGAUUAGAGAUUUCCUGACAGUGAAAGUAGCAGUGGGCAGGCAGGGAUUACAACAAUGGAUCUGACGUAGGAAAGGAGGAGUUUUGAUGCAUCUGAGAAGGUAACAAUUAUGGAGAAAGAGAGAAGGGCGAGGAAUGAAUGGAACAUAUAUUACCAGGGCAAGUCAUUAUUAUGUGUUGUAAGAGUCAUUUUCUUGUGCCGUAAUGCCAUAUUGUUCCAUCCUUUUUGCACAACUGAGACUGCAUUUAGACGCUGCCACAGCAAACGCAAUAAAUGUACGUAAACAAUCAAACUAUCAAUUGCAAUGGAAAGACACAGUUUUUUGUAAUUCGCGUAGCCAUUUCCUGAGGCUUUUUACUCCCUAGUGUGUUGAGAAUUCAGAUAUAUUUCUCUUUCCCUACAGAAUGAAGCAUUGAGCAACAGUAUAAUUUUUAUUCCUAUUUUCCUGAUAAAAUUUAUGACAGGGGAACAUUCUAUUAAUUGAUUUAAGUCUUCAGUAUACAAUAUACACCCCUAUUUCUUUUUAAUAAUACUAAUACAAAUACUACUACUAAUACUUUAUUUCUAGAUCGCCCUCUCUCCCCAGAGGGACUCAGGGUGGUUAACAUACAUAUAAAUGGCAAACAUUCAAUGCCACAUCUACUGUACUUCACUUAAUAUCAAAAAUAUAAAAUGACAAUAAAAUACUCAUUAUAAUAAAUAAUCCAAAUUAGAAUAUUUUUAAUAGCGGAGGUAUAUAUGCAAAGGCUGAAAAUACAAAUACAUACACACCGUCACAAGCAAAAUACAUAAAUAUAGAGGGAGGGGGACAGGCCAAUUUUGCUUGUGCAUUACAAACUGAAAUAAAUUAGAGAAAUUAUGUUGCCUACAACUUAUAUUAAGACCACACAUAGAUACAUAAGGUAAUAGGAAAAUGCGAUGUGUAUUACACCCAGCCUCAUAGUCUCAUGACAUAUGCAAACAUCUAAAUAUAUACAAUGAAUGCAGUGUUCUCCCUUCAGACAGGCCACAUCAGCAGAUUUGCCACCACAAGGGAUUUCAGAACUUGAUCCAACCACUUGUAGCAGACGUCAAAGAAGUGAACCUGGCCCUAAUUGACUGAUAAAUGACCACAGAGACUGAAAACACCACUGGGUAACUUGAGCUUCAGUCGUCACAUUGACCUCAUGGCAAAGCUGCAAAAAAAAAUUCGCUCAUUUUCUUCUUGUGAUCCUCAUACAUUCCGUUCAACAUACUCAAGAGGUUCUAUGAGAUUCCCAACUCAAGAGGUUUCAUCCUCUCAAGUUCUCUUCUGACUUAAAUUUCUUAGAGCCCUUCUACAUUGCCAUACAAUCCAGAAUAUCAAGGCAGAUAAUCCACAAUAUCUUCUUUGAACUGGAUUAUCUGAGUCCACACUGCCACAUAAUCCAGUUCAAUGUGUGCUUAUACAGCUAUGUGAAAGUAGCCUUAGAUAGUUUGUGACACUCAUUUUGUUUAAUUGCUGAAGUCAUUUUGAUGGAAUAAAGGUAUCACGUUGGUUUGUUGUCUCUGAAAAAUGGGAGACAUGGCACCACACAGACAGAUGUGUAGCAAAAGUGC